rnacentral:rRNA from 1 species
GACGAACGCUGGCGGCGUGCUUAACACAUGCAAGUCGAACGGAAAGGCCAUGAUUUUGUGGGGUGCUCGAGUGGCGAACGGGUGAGUAACACGUGAGUAAAAUGCCCUUGAAAUUGGGAUAACAUCAGGAAAAUGGGGAUAAUACCGGAUAGGAGCUACUGCUGCAUGGGGGGGGAUGGAAAGUUUCGGCGGUUGGGGCUGGACUCGCGGCUUAUCAGCUGGAUGGUGGGGUAGUGGAUUACCAGGGCUUCGACGGGUAGCCGGCCUGAGAGGGUGACCGGCCUCAAUGGGACUGAGGGACGGCCCAGACUCCUACGGGAGGCAGCAGUGGGGAAUAUUGCACAAUGGGCGGAAGCCUGAUGCAGCAACGCCGCGUUCGGAAUGACGGCCUUCGGGGUGUAAACCGCUUUCGCCGGUGACGAAGCGGGAGUGACGGUAAUGGGUAAAGAAGCACCGGCUAACUACGUG